rnacentral:misc_RNA from 1 species
CCGAGUUUUCAACUCCCAAACCCCAUGUGAACUUAUACCAUUUACAACCGUUGCUUCGGCGGGUUCUCGCCCCGGGCCUUUACACCCCGGAACCAGGCGGCCCGCCGGGGGACCCAAACUCUUGUAUUUGAAUUGAGUAUUCUCUGAGUGAUACAAGCAAUAAAUUA